ACUCAUCUUUACAUCGCCAACAACAGCAGCAGGCAGAGAAGGAUGCUGCCCUCGCUCAGGAAAGGCCUCAAAGGCUGGCAGAGACGGUAGAGAUUAACAUGGGAGCAGCUUCCGAAGAUGCCGCGCUUGCGCAAUGGGAGCAUUAGGUUUGGAUUUUUCAGUCGUGCAGCAACUGUCGAAAAACGAACCAAUCAGGAAGCUCGUACAGUACAUUCGUGUUUUCGUGUUCACCAUUAGUACCCCUCAAAUUGCGUGUGAGAAAACGGACUCCUUGUUUACACGAUUAAGUUGAGGGCUACAUCACUUGACGACACUGUCCAGAAAGUGGCCUUGGUAAACUCGACUUUGCCUUCGUUUUACGAAGUCUGUUAUAACUGAACCAAAGAAUACUGGUCUUUUUUACGUAUUGAUGACAGAUUGUCUUGUAUACAUCAUUUGAACACUUGUUGUGUUCAUUUUUACUGGAAAAUUUUGUUGUUUCACCUGUACGAGGGGUUCUUUGAAGGUCAGCCAUAUGUUUGAUUAUCAGUCCAUCAUUUGCUCUUGUUAACUGGUUAGAAAGCCUCUUAUUGACAGUACCAUAUGUGAAACUAUUUUGGAUGAAUUUUUAUUUCUUUCCGUAAGAGUUGAAAUGUUUCCAAAAUACAUAUCUUUUCAAACAAAUAAUGUUUAAAACCAAGUAUUCUGUAAGUGAUACAUUAAUUCUGUUAUUCUCCCAUACCUCCAAUUAAAGUUGUACUGUUCCAGAAACUAGAUGGCGCUGUAAGUGUUACUUUUUCAGCGUCAGGUGGUAUCUGAUAGAAGGACACGUUCUUCGAGUACUAGUAUAAUAAUUAAUAGUUUACACUCAGUUUUGAACACGGCUUUUGAUAUAAUUUUAGUAUUGAUAAUGUGUACACUACAACAGCUUCAAACACUUGUGUAUAACUUGCACCUUAUUAACAUAUAGAAGAUUUUCUAAAACUCAUUGUGAUUUUCGGCAGAACCAUUAUGGAGAUUUACAAUUGUCACUCGACUGAAUGUAUAUACAAAUUUAUAGGUAUAUAAUUUUUCCAGUUUUAAACGUAUAUUAUUUUGAUAUUCUCAAAACAAUUCCACGAGAUGCUACCUGUGGCGUGAUUAACGUCUGAAGACGGAUAGACAGAUGAACAAACAAGGGUUACUUGGGUGUAGCAAACAAAACACAGCCCCCAAAUCAAGUACUUACACCGUACUUAGCCAUUGUACUUAUUAAUUUAGAUCUCUGUUUACACAGAGUAGUGUAAUAAUUCUCUAUUUAUUGAUGUGUCAUCGCAAAAUGGACACUUCUAUAUGGUUCAUGACUUCGCUUCCCUUUGUUGUGAAAGUCAUUUCGAUAUUGUUUUGUUUUAUAUUUUCAGACUGCCUUUGUAUGUCAAAAAAUUGAAAUAUUUUAAUGUGAAAUAAACACAAAGGUAUAAGU
rnacentral:misc_RNA from 1 species